CCCUUAGAUGUUCUGGGCCGCACGCGCGCUACACUGAUGCAUUCAACGAGCCUAUCCUUGGCCGACAGGUCCGGGUAAUCUUUGAAUCUGCAUCGUGACGGGGAUAGAUUAUUGCAAUUAUUAAUCUUCAACGAGGAAUGCCUAGUAGGCGCAAGUCAUCAGCUUGCGUCGAUUACGUCCCUGCCCUUUGUACACACCGCCCGUCGCUCCUACCGAUUGGGUGUGCUGGUGAAAUGUUCGGAUCGGCCGUUUGUCGCGGUUUCCGCGUCAUGUGGCUGAGAAGUUCAUUAAACCCUCCCACCUAGAGGAAGGAGAAGUCGUAACA
rnacentral:rRNA from 1 species